rnacentral:rRNA from 1 species
GACGAACGCUGGCGGCGUGCUUAACACAUGCAAGUCGAACGGAAAGGCCCUGCUUUUGUGGGGUGCUCGAGUGGCGAACGGGUGAGUAACACGUGAGUAACCUGCCCUUGACUUUGGGAUAACUUCAGGAAACUGGGGCUAAUACCGGAUAGGAGCUCCUGCUGCAUGGUGGGGGUUGGAAAGUUUCGGCGGUUGGGGAUGGACUCGCGGCUUAUCAGCUUGUUGGUGGGGUAGUGGCUUACCAAGGCUUUGACGGGUAGCCGGCCUGAGAGGGUGAUCGGCCACAUUGGGACUGAGAUACGGCCCAGACUCCUACGGGAGGCAGCAGUGGGGAAUAUUGCGCAAUGGGCGGGAGCCUGAUGCAGCAACGCCGCGUGCGGGAUGACGGCCUUCGGGUUGUAAACCGCUUUCGCCUGUGACGAAGCGUGAGUGACGGUAAUGGGUAAAGAAGCACCGGCUAACUACGUG